rnacentral:tRNA from 1 species
GCGCGGUUAGUUCAGUGGUUAGAAUUCUCGCUUCCCAAGCGAGAGACCCGGGUUCGAAUCCCGGAUCGCGCA